UCCCUGGUAGUAUAUCGGUUAGUACACGCGCCUGUCAUUGCUGACUUAGAUGUUACGAUUGCGCGCGAAAGCUGGGUUCGACUCCCAGCCAGGGAG